GUACCUCUCUGACCAAAAGAUAAAGGAAAGGAUUAAAUAAAAGAGAGAGGUACACGUUUUCUCACUCAUAUACUCUCUCUUCCACUCAUUAUUAAGGGCACCUCAUUCCCACUUUUUCUCGGGAAAAAGGAGAAAACAUUAGAAAAGGAAAACAAUAAAAACUCUCUAGAUUCAACACCAAUACCCACACUCUCUUUCACAGAAUCUCUCACUCUCUGUAGCAUUGAGAAGAGGAAAACUAAAAAUAAAUAAAAAAGGAGGGAGCAACACGGUUCAUCUUACACAACCCCGCCGCCAGAAACCAUUAACAACACCCUUCACCUCCGCCGGUCGCAUGCACCACCAACAACAACCCCGCCGCCGGAAACCAUUAACAACACCCUUCACCUUCGCCGGUCGCAUGCACCACCAACAACAACCCCGCCGCCGCGAUCCAAACUCAUAACGACCACACGAAGACCGUCGCUGUCCAACGUUACUUCCGCCACCACGAACCCUCCGCGUUUCCUACCGGCCACCAAAUCUCUUUCAACCUUCAAUCUACCUCCACUAUCCGCCGGAAACGCACACCAUAAACCACUCCUUCAACACUUACCUCCAUCGUCGCAUCACCGCUUCAAUACCACCAGAAACUACAUAUAACCCCGAAACCUUCAUCGCAACAACUUUCAUUUUUUCACGUUAUCAUUGGGGAAAUUUAAUAAUGGAGUGUAAAAAGAGAAACAGGAAUUGUUACUGAUGGCCACGUUUUUCUUCCA